GCGGAAGUAGAAGAUAUGUAUUUACAGUAGUGCACUUUCGGCAUUAUCUAUCAAACUCUGGCUCUUGAUCGUCUUCUGCUCACUGAUGGAGGCCUAAUAGUCAGUUCCUGUUGUUUCUGUGAAGAGCUUCCCAAACCUAGUAGCACAGAGGAAGCCGUGAUCCAGUCACUUCCUCUGUGGUGCGAUUUGGGAGCUCUCUGUCUGGAUGGAAGCUGAAGGAAGAGAGAGGGUGCAGGAUUCUAGAACAAACAUGAGCACGUGUUGUUAACGUACACGUCCACCUUGUCAGCUCAAGCUUAUCACCUCUUCAUGUCACUAUUACUGCUUAGGUCAUUACUUUUUGCACUGAGCCUCAUGAACAGGGGAUGCUUUCUCUCCAUGUGGCCUAUGGUCAUCAUCUGGUCUCUGCUAUCAAGGUUCUCCAGCCUCCACAGCUGCACCUGUCACAACCAGGAUGAAAACCUUAAAUUCAGUAGCAUAUAAAGUAAAGUACAGACUGUGAGUAAGCUAUGAGAUGUCUUUCCUACUACACAUGAUGGUGCAGCAGAGGUUACUGUGGUUGGGUCAUCUGGUGGGUGUCAUCUUCAGCUUGGCUCUGGGCUUCUUGGAUGGCAGGACCUUGUUCUGGUCUAGCAUGCUGGUAAACUGAAAGCAUUAGAACCUAUCUGCAGCAGCAGUAAAAAGUAUUUAUAUUUAUAAAAAUUUCACGGAAUAAUAUUGAAAGAAACAUUGAAACGUACCAUUAAAACAUUGCAAGGCUUAACUUAAGUGAUGUUUUUAUAACUUAUAACUCCUAUAUCCUAUUUUAUCUUAUUUUAUAUACGCCAAGAUGGCGCCGCAGAUGGCAGCCUCGGCUCUUCGCUUUCCAGUACCCUUUACUUUUUUGCUGUUUUUAGUGUUUUUGUUUUAUUUUGUGCAACCACUCGUGGCUUCACGGAUUACCUACUCCAGAGAGGAAAGGAUGCAUGCGCUUCUGCUCCUCAACACAAAAAACAAGGACGCCCUCUGCUUCAAUGAAUCCUGGCUCAGUGAGAACAUGCCUGAUGCAGCGCUACACCCUUCCGGCUUCCAGCUGCUCUGCUCGGACAGUGUUAUGGAGCUUUCCGGGAAAACAAAGGGAGGCCGAACCUGCUUUUAUGUCAGCAAAGGAGUUUGCCUCGUUUGUUCUGGUCAGCGUUUUCAUCCCACCUCAGGCCUGUGUAACAACCGCGUUACAAAACCUGGCCGGCUACAUAACGGACGUGGAGAGGAAACAUCCAGACUCCCUGCUCAUCAUCACUAGUGACUUUAACAAAGCGAACCUGAGCCAGGAACUCCCCAGAAGCAUGAAGAAGCAGCCUAGACAUCUCUGUAGAUGCCUGCAAGGGCUGGAUGAGGCAUGAGAAGGGUUUUAUCCCCGCUGCCUGGCUACAGCUAAUAUAGGCUGUGAUGUGGACCAGAGUGUCUGGCCUGACCCAGACCAUCACGCUGAGGAGAACAAUGUCUGUUUUUAACAGCUUUGCUGUGUAUUACAUGAAGGAAUGUAAAUGCUCCAACAUUUACAUUGUGUAUUUUGGGUUCAUGUGACACACUUUAUAGAGGGGGAGACUGACAAAGUUACCAGUUUUGGAAAUAUUGCUUUAAGUUUUGAGCCCCUGUGUGUUAGACUAUUUUAAAGUGUUUGUAUGUUUGAGGGCUUGUGUGUAUUGGCUGAGGUCACUGUUCGGUUUUGACCUAAAAUAGAAUGUUUGGGUAAUUGUUAUGGAUUUGUGUUUACUGUUGUGAGAAUGCAACUCUCUUGGGGAAAACUGUACAUGAAUUAAGAAUUUUAGAAGUUUAGAAGUUUUUUUUAGUUCAUACAAUAGUUUGGUCAAAAUACAAAGCGACAGUACGGCAUUUCGGCAUUUUCCUUCUGUCAACACUGUUCAUACAGUGCAGUGAGACCACACUACCAAUAAUCAAUAAUCGGACUCCGAACAUAUAAGUUUAUUGUAACAAUCCUGUAAACUUGUGAGGUCACAGUACUGUUAAUGAUCUCGCCUUGGUCUGUUUCCUUCAUCUCCACUAACAAAUAUGACAAAGGUUUAAAUGAGAAUUGGCAGCAACAAAAUCCACUUGAAAGGCGAAUUGGAGAGGUUCUCUGUUGUCUCCUUCUCUCUGUUUAUUCAUGUGUAGUGUGGCUGUCAGGAUAUGAAAGGGGCUCCUGAUGAAUCUGAAUGGGCUCUCUGCUCCACAGACUAGGCCUCUGUUUUAGAGCCCGCUGCCACAGAGGGCGGACGGAGUCUCAGUGAAGAACGUACAAAGGUUGUGUUGUGAUUAUAAAUAUCGCUUUUGCUCUGCUUUGAUGGGUAUGUGCAUGACUAAUCCCUGUGUUAACUCCAAAUAUUACAUAAUGGGAGUAUUCCCUCCCUGCUCCAGUAACCAUGACGAUGGGUGUUCGCAGAAUAAACCAAAGAACAGUGGAUGCAGACAGCUUUUGAAUGGAACGAUGACGUAUCUGUAAAUCCAUAACUUUUUCUGUUGUGUGACUUGAUGCAAACGUCUGCGUGGAACAUCAUGUUUCCUGUAAAGGCAUAACCUUUAGAACAUGACAAACACAGCAUUGAAUGAGGUCAAUCCCCCCUGUGUGGUCUUGAACAUGAAGCUGAAAGAACACCUUUAAGUUCAGGACCAUCUUUUAACUUGAAUUACCACGAGACCUGUGGCUUGAUUAGCAGGAAGGCUGACUUCACCUCAGUGUGUAGGAGGGUGUGUAUCUUUCUGCCACUAUGCUUUCAUCACUGGUCACUUUCCAACCAAUCAUUAAAUAGUUGUUAUUUACUUAG